GAUGAACGCUGGCGGCGUGCCUAAUACAUGCAAGUCGAGCGAACAGACGAGGAGCUUGCUCCUCUGACGUUAGCGGCGGACGGGUGAGUAACACGUGGAUAACCUACCUAUAAGACUGGGAUAACUUCGGGAAACCGGAGCUAAUACCGGAUAAUAUAUUGAACCGCAUGGUUCAAUAGUGAAAGACGGUUUUGCUGUCACUUAUAGAUGGAUCCGCGCCGCAUUAGCUAGUUGGUAAGGUAACGGCUUACCAAGGCAACGAUGCGUAGCCGACCUGAGAGGGGGAUAGGCCACAUGGGAACUGAGCCACGGUCCAGACUCCUACGGGAGGCAGCAGUAGGGAAUCUUCCGCAAUGGGCGAAAGCCUGACGGAGCAACGCCGCGUGAGUGAUGAAGGUCUUCGGAUCGUAAAACUCUGUUAUUAGGGAAGAACAAAUGUGUAAGUAACUAUGCACGUCUUGACGGUACCUAAUCAGAAAGCCACGGCUAACUACGUG
rnacentral:rRNA from 1 species